UCUCAGCUCCUAAAAUAAAGGGAUGUGAACUUGCCAAGUAGGUACCUUCGGGCGGACCUACUACCUGAUUUAGCUUAUUGUUUCUGGGCUGGAAACCUGUAUUGCAUGUACUAAAUCCUGUCUUUCAUUAAUUUUCCUAUGUUUCUGUUAUGUCUUGGCAUCAUUCAACACUAGCAUUCCUCCUGUAUAACCAACUCUUGCCUGUAUUUAACAUCACACAAGGACUCAUCAUAAGCACUGCUUGCAUACGAGUAUAAGGA
rnacentral:sRNA from 1 species